rnacentral:rRNA from 1 species
UACGGGGGGGGCAAGCGUUGUUCGGAAUUACUGGCGUAAAAGGCUCGUAGGCGGCCAACUAAGUCGGAUGUGAAAUCCCCAGGCUUAACCUGGGAACUGCAUCCGAUACUGGAUGGCUUGAAUCCGGGAGCAGGGAUGCAGAAUUCCAGGUGUAGCGGUGAAAUGCGUAGAUAUCUGGAGGAAUACCGGUGGCGAAGGCGGCAUCCUGGACCGGCAUUGACGCUGAUGAGCGAA